GCUGGGUGCGGUGGCUCACGCCUGUAAUCCCAGCACUUUGGGAGGCUGAGGUGGGUGGAUCACCUGAGGUCAGGAGUUCAAGACCAGCCUGGCCAACAUGGUGAAACCCCAUCUCUA
ensembl:misc_RNA Metazoa_SRP Metazoan signal recognition particle RNA